rnacentral:rRNA from 1 species
UGGGGAAUUUUGGACAAUGGGCGAAAGCCUGAUCCAGCAAUGCCGCGUGUGUGAAGAAGGCCUUCGGGUUGUAAAGCACUUUUGUCCGGAAAGAAAUCCUUGGCUCUAAUACAGUCGGGGGAGUACGGUACCGGAAGAAUAAGCACCGGCUAACUACGUGCCAGCAGCCGCGGUAAUACGUAGGGUGCAAGCGUUAAUCGGAAUUACUGGGCGUAAAGCGUGCGCAGGCGGUUUGCUAAGACCGAUGUGAAAUCCCCGGGCGUCAACCUGGAACUGCAUUGGUGACUGGCAGGCUAGAGUAUGGCAGAGGGGGGUGAGAAUUCCACGUGUAGCAGUGAAAUGCGUAGAGAUGUGGAGGAAUACCGAUGGCGAAGGCAGCCCCCUGGCAAGUACUGACGCUCAUGCACGAAAGCGU